UGGGACUAAAGAAACUACCGGAUUGCAGCCCCAAGGGUGGGGGAAUGGAGUCAGGUAAAGAGGGCUAGCCACAGCCUUAAAGACCAUGGCUGGGGAUACCUCCCCAUCCAAGAGUAUCAGAGGGGAUCUGGACACUCAGCGGUCACUUCAUCAGACUCAGGGAAACGUUUUCACCGACCAAAGAGAAAACUUACCCAAUUGAUGCUGGUGGAUGGGGUGCUGAGUGAUCGGUGAGCCAGAAGGAGCCUUGGCAGAGUCAUUCAAGGCUGACCACAUCCUCAGGGUUCCAAGCCCAGGAGUCCUGGCAAACACUCCUGAAGGCAGCUUCCUGUCAGCUCUGUAAGAAAGGUCAGUCUCACAGAUCUACAAUAAAGAAGUGCCACUCCCAUCACCAAAGUCCUGCCGGGCACUGGAAUCUGUUUCAGAGCUCCUGGCACCCGCAGCAUGGCAGCCUCAGAACCAACGGGGCAAGAGGGAGUCCCCCUCUCCUGUGCCAGAGAGAUGUGGAAGGAAGUGACUGGAACUACAAGAGGCGAAGCCUGCCAGUGGCCUAACAAGAACACAUUUCAGUCACAAAGAACCCCUGGAAGAGACAAGUCACUUUAGUGAGAAGUGAAAGAAUGUGUGUGGAAGCAGAGAGAUGGCAAUGACAGACUCCUUCAUAUUGAAGCAUAGCCUUCUCCAGGACCAAGAAAGACAAAGAGCCAAUCACCUAGAAGGAGAGGUCGGCAGAGGCCAGAAGUUGGUCAGAGCUCUCAUAGUAUGCCAAAAAUUCACCACCACCCUAAUAUAUCCACACCAAGUCUUUAGUCUUUGCAGCAGUGGUUAAGGAAUCUUAAGGGGUGAGCUUAUCCCAAAUGAUCUGAAUAAGUCCUAAAUGUGAUUGCUUACAUCCUUAUAAAAGAGACACACAAAAAGAAGACAACGAGAAGGCAGAUCCUGGAGUGAUGAGGCUACAAGCUAAGCAACAGCAGGAAUUUUAAGAGUCACCAGAAGCUGGAAGAGGUAAGGAUCAAACUCUUCCUCACAGCCUUCAGAGGGAACACAGUCCUGCCCACACCUAGAUUUGGGACUUCCAGCCUCCAGAACUGAAAGAAUAAACUUCCUUUUCUUUUCAGUGGUGAUCUGUUUAGCCCUGAGAAACUACUACAGCCCUAGACAAGAGUUUACAGUUCAAACAAAGCUCCACAGCUAUAAAUGGAGUUCAGCCUAAAGCAAAGUGGCAUUUUGCUCACUGGAUACCAGACUUGGGCUGUGCAGACUAUUCCAACUGUUACCAUGGUAGAGAAAAGUAAGUCCCGGAUUGGCUCAGGAGCUGGUGGGUUCAUCUCAGCCGUCACAUCCAGGCAGGGGAGGCAGAACUGGCAAGUCCAUAACUUUUUUGCAAUAGAUGAUAAAUGUCACCUAAAAGUUGACCAUAUACAGUUACAGAUGACGUUCAGUUUCAGGAAAAGCAAAAGGUAGAAAACAUACUGAUCGUGCUGUGGACGAAUCUGUCCCAUGGCUUAGAAUGUCAGUUCCCUUUAUUCAUGUGCCAAACAGAUGCCAGCAGACAGGAGCAGUACCAGGCCUAGCUGUGGCACCCUGAAGCCAGCAGCUGUCCUAGCCCUCCUUUACAGUCCCCAGAUCUCACCUCCUGAAGUGCUCAGGGAGACCCUCCCUAAGCCAAGAGCCUCUGGGGCUCAAGAAGACCAUCUCGUGCCCAAUUCAAUACGACAGUAGUAUGGGAGAAGAAACUGAGCGUGGUAAGUUGUUCUGACCAGUAAGGCUUCUGAUCGACAAGCCCAAGAGUCAUCAUAUAAUGGGGAUUCAACACCCCUUACCCCAAAAUAGUAUCAAAAUAGGGUCUUGGUUUAGAUGUGCUCAAAAGCUCGUGUCUAGGUGGCACAGGAAACCCAUGUAGACAUGAGUUACAGCUCCUGUCUCUUAGAAGCGUCUGUUUGUGUUUAUAGUAUGAGGUCUACCCAGUCCCUGAUCUUCAGAGAUAUGGGUAUAGCUGAGUGGUGCAGACCAUUAGACUUAAGAUAGAGAAGUAAUGUUUUAAUUCAGCCAUGAAAAUAUUCCAAAAUAUGACAAUCUGGUAUUGAACUGAUGUAAUCUGUCUUGUGGCCACUGUAUACCAUCUUGUCCCAAUUAAUCAGUAUGAUCCU